ACACCUCCAGCCCUGUGACGGGCACUCAGGACCACCAAGGGCACUCAGGUGCAGAUGCCCCUGGGAGAACACCACCUUCAUUCAGCCCGGGCGGCCAGAUUAGGGGAAGGUUGCUUCUAGGAGAGAAAGUCUUGAGUCAGGCUUUGUGGAGAAAGGAGGUUUCUACACCCCAAGCGUUCCUGACACAACCCAACCAGCCUGGUGUUGCACCACAGGGCUCACACCUCAGAUCAAGACAACGGGGGCCCAGCCACAGCCCACUGACGAGGGCAUGCAGGGCGUCCAGGAUGCAGGGCAGAGAGAGAAGCGAGGGAUGAGUCACGGAUGCGCCCCCCGCUCUGAGCCCGACGGGGCCCUGAAUGGCUUUUCCUGCCCUGGCUCCUCCCAUCAUAUUUUAAAUGCCGUCUUCCUCCCGCUCCAAGGAAACCUUCUCUUGACGUCAGAUCUCAUGUCUGUCAGUUACAAAGUACGGAAAGCACCCGUUAAAAUUCUGUUUUUAUCUCAUUCUCUUCAAUUCUGCCAUUUUGCUUCAUGUAUUUUGAAGCUGUUAUUUAGUGCAUAUACAUUUGGGGUUGUUAUGUCUUGAUAAAUCGAUCUUAUCAUUAUUGUCUCUUUACUCAUUUCUGGUACCGUUCCUUGUCCUACCGUCUAUGUUGAUAUUAAAAAUAUCAAGAGUCUGAAACUUUACAUCAUAGUGAACAAAGAAAACCUAAUAUGAUGCCAGGGAAAAGAUUUCAGGAUGUUCAAAAUCUGUUCCUGAUAAAAAUAAUCUGAAUUCAAAAAUCUUUCAUGACUGAUUUUUAAUCACACUGAGGCAAAUAUCCCCCUCAGACAGAGGCUGCACCGGUACAGCUG
rnacentral:lncRNA from 1 species